rnacentral:lncRNA from 1 species
GGCACUUGCAACUUUAUUGCGCCAGCAAGAACAUGCAUACAGCCCAGUCUAACGUACAGGAUCAAAAAGAGACCUUAUUUCGGCUGGCAAUUACCUUACCCGCUUGUUCAUUAUCUGACUCCUGCACUCCUCCCAAGUGUUCAAUGUUAACCAGAUGGCAAAGUUAACCAGACAGAGGAAAUCCACAUAAUUACUCUAGAUGAAGCCCCCUAACUGCGGAUUAGAAGGAAAAGAGAUGAAGGGUGCUGCACUAAUAAUAACAACCAUUUUCAACCAAGGCAGGAUUCUGGGCCUAGAAUCUUCAGUGACAAAUUACCAGGAGAGGAGGAGGGAAAUGAAGAGCUGGAGGCCUAGGGAGAUGGUGUGAGGAGAGGAGACUGUGCCUUUCCACUUCUUAAUAAUUAAUGUUCUCCUGCUGCUCUGAGUCUGCAUCACCAGUGAUUCAGUUUGAGUCAGACAUCCAACAACAACUGAGCAAAAGAAUCAUCUCAGAUCCAAGCAAUGGUGACGCGCAGAUAGAAGAGACUGAGGCCAACGACCAAAGCAAAGGACAGCAGAACUGACUGACACAGCUCAGAAAAUAUCCAAAGCUCUGUAUGCUCUGGAAAGGAAGACAAGAAAUGCUAAAGACUCUGGAUAUUGCUCUGUUUCUAUAAGGUCCCACCCAUAUACCAUCUCUUCUUUUGGAUUUCCUUUGGCAGGGUUCCCUUGUAUGGAAGUUCUCAGGAGAACAACACUCUCAGAGUCCCACUGUCUCAAAGAAUUCUUAAUGGACAGCUAUACUUGGCCCCAAGGUUUCAACCUCACACUGAAGAAAGUGACAUAAGAAAACACAAGUCCCAGUGCUAUCAGGGGCUAUCUGGAAAAGCUGCUUAAACAGCAAGUGAAAGAAGGCUCUCCCCUACCCCGUUCUAGAUGGAGUCUCGCUCUGUCACCCAGGCUGGAGUGCAAUGGCACGAUCUCAGCUCACUGCAACCUCCGCCUCCCAGGUUGAAGCGAUUCUCCUGCCUCAGCCUCCUGAGUAGCUGGGAUUACAGACUCACCCUGAAGUUAUUUGAAGGAUCCUUGAGACUCUUUUGGAUUGCUGCUUGGAGAACAUUCCUGUAACUUGUCCCUGCUCCUUGAACUAUAAAAGCAGAAGGGAGGUACUGAGUUAAAACUUACAAAUUAUUAUCAAAUAAAUCUUCAAUAGUGGUUCAGUCCAA